rnacentral:misc_RNA from 1 species
AUGAAAAUACAUUUGAAAGCUCUUGGUGCAUCCAUCAGCAUCUAUUACUCAUCCUCAUACAUAUUCUACUAGCCACAUCUUUCCAAUUUAUUUAACAAUUGCAAAAACAAUAAAUUCUUACCCUGUCAUUCCUACAUUUCUUUCACCCCGUAAAUUUCAUCCCUAUUACAUACAAUUUAUAGCAAACGUAUCUACGAUUAUGGAAACAAAGAAUUACCUGCAAGCUAAAGAGGACAACAAUUGGGUGCAAGCCAUGCGGAAUUGAAUGCCUUUGAAUUGAAUAGCACUUGGUAUCUCACUAGGCUCCCUAGAGUGGAUAACCAUUACAUUUUUUCCCCAGUAGCCAAAUUGGUGACUGUGCAUCUUUUCUUUGUAAUUGCUGCAGCUUUUCAGUGGCCUGUCCACCAGCUGGAUAUAAACAAUGCCUAUCUUCACGAACACAUUGAUGAGGACAUUUGCAUGCCUCCACCCUAAAGCUAUGACAAAGCUCAACAGCUUUAUGGUUUUUCUCAAUCACCACAUGACCAGUCUCUUCACCAAAGGCAUUGAUAAUCAUUUUCUGGCACUCAUUGUGUAUGUUGAUGAUAUCUUGAUUGUAGGUGCCAUUAAAGCUAAUAUUACCCUGGUCAAAUGGUACUUGGACAAACAAUUCACUAUCGAGGACCUUGGUUAUGUCAAACACUUCUUGGGCAUUAAGAUUGCUCGUUCUCAGGAGGGGAUGCACUUGAAUCAACGAAAAUAAGUUUUGGAUAUCUUACAUGAUGUGGGGUUUUUUGAAGCAAACCCUACGCUAUUUCCUUUUCCCAAAGACUUUAGCUGUCAAAUGACAAGGGCAAUCUCUUUCCUGACCUAGAUUGAUACACCGGCUUGUUGGGUGAUUACUUUACCUCAGUUUAACACACCCAGCCAUCACUUAUUCCACUCAAAAUUAAGCCAUUUUAUGCAAAAUCCCCACUUACCACACUGACAGGCAGCUCUCCAUAUUCUUCGUUAUUUAAAGAGUUGCCCUGACAAAGGGGUUUUCUUCCCUACUUAAAAUAACCUUAAAUUGACAGCAUUUCAUGAUGCAAAUUGGGUUGCAUGCCAAUGUCACAAAAAUCCUUGAUUAGAUAUUGCAUUUUUCUUGGCUCUUCUCUAAUUUCGUGGAAAGCAAAGAAAUACACGACUAUAAGCCGAUCAUCCGCUAAAGCCGAAUACCACAACAUGGCUUCUCCUGUUUGUGAACUACAAUGGAUUAGCUACCUUUUACGCGAAUUUCACCUUUCUCCUUCAUUGCCCAUAUUUAUCCACUAUGACAACAAAGCAACACAACACAUCACUGCAAAUCUCAUUUUUCAGGAGCGCAUAAAGCACCUAGACAUUGAUUCUCACAUGGUGUGUGAUCAAUUACAGAAGGGCUUUAUUCAAACCAUUCAUGUCCCCUCUCGUCUUCAACUUGUAUAUCUGUUCACUAAACCUCUUGGUGCUAGUUUUCAUUCGAUGGGUUGGGUGGGGGGGGGGGGGGG